AUGAACGCUAGCUACAGGCUUAACACAUGCAAGUCGAGGGGCAGCAUUUCAGUUUGCUUGCAAACUGGAGAUGGCGACCGGCGCACGGGUGAGUAACACGUAUCCAACCUGCCGAUAACUCGGGGAUAGCCUUUCGAAAGAAAGAUUAUUACCCGAUGGUAUAAUCAGACCGCAUGGUCUAAUUAUUAAAGAAUUUCGGUUAUCGAUGGGGAUGCGUUCCAUUAGGCAGUUGGUGAGGUAACGGCUCACCAAACCUUCGAUGGAUAGGGGUUCUGAGAGGAAGGUCCCCCACAUUGGAACUGAGACACGGUCCAAACUCCUACGGGAGGCAGCAGUGAGGAAUAUUGGUCAAUGGGCGCAGGCCUGAACCAGCCAAGUAGCGUGAAGGAUGACUGCCCUAUGGGUUGUAAACUUCUUUUAUAUGGGAAUAAAGUUUUCCACGUGUGGAAUUUUGUAUGUACCAUAUGAAUAAGGAUCGGCUAACUCCGUGCCAGCAGCCGCGGUAAUACGGAGGAUCCGAGCGUUAUCCGGAUUUAUUGGGUUUAAAGGGAGCGUAGGUGGACAGUUAAGUCAGUUGUGAAAGUUUGCGGCUCAACCGUAAAAUUGCAGUUGAUACUGGCUGUCUUGAGUACAGUAGAGGUGGGCGGAAUUCGUGGUGUAGCGGUGAAAUGCUUAGAUAUCACGAAGAACUCCGAUUGCGAAGGCAGCUCACUGGACUGCAACUGACACUGAUGCUCGAAAGUGUGGGUAUCAAACAGGAUUAGAUACCCUGGUAGUCCACACAGUAAACGAUGAAUACUCGCUGUUUGCGAUAUACAGUAAGCGGCCAAGCGAAAGCAUUAAGUAUUCCACCUGGGGAGUACGCCGGCAACGGUGAAACUCAAAGGAAUUGACGGGGGCCCGCACAAGCGGAGGAACAUGUGGUUUAAUUCGAUGAUACGCGAGGAACCUUACCCGGGCUUAAAUUGCAUUUGAAUAUAUUGGAAACAGUAUAGCCGUAAGGCAAAUGUGAAGGUGCUGCAUGGUUGUCGUCAGCUCGUGCCGUGAGGUGUCGGCUUAAGUGCCAUAACGAGCGCAACCCUUAUCUUUAGUUACUAACAGGUCAUGCUGAGGACUCUAGAGAGACUGCCGUCGUAAGAUGUGAGGAAGGUGGGGAUGACGUCAAAUCAGCACGGCCCUUACGUCCGGGGCUACACACGUGUUACAAUGGGGGGUACAGAAGGCAGCUACCUGGUGACAGGAUGCUAAUCCCAAAAGCCUCUCUCAGUUCGGAUCGAAGUCUGCAACCCGACUUCGUGAAGCUGGAUUCGCUAGUAAUCGCGCAUCAGCCAUGGCGCGGUGAAUACGUUCCCGGGCCUUGUACACACCGCCCGUCAAGCCAUGAAAGCCGGGGGUACCUGAAGUACGUAACCGCAAGGAGCGUCCUAGGGUAAAACUGGUAAUUGGGGCU
rnacentral:rRNA from 1 species